rnacentral:tRNA from 1 species
AUAUUGGUUGUUCAGUGGUAGAAUUCUCACCUUCCAUGUGGGAGACCUGGGUUCCAUUCCUGGCCAAUGCA